GGUGGCUCAGUGGUAGAACGCUUGCCUUUCAUGCAUGAGGCCUGGGUUCAAUUCCUCAGCACCA
rnacentral:tRNA from 1 species